rnacentral:rRNA from 1 species
UACGGGGGGGGGCAAGCGUUGUUCGGAAUUACUGGGCGUAAAGGGCUCGUAGGUGGCUAACUAAGUCAGACGUGAAAAUCCCCUCGGCUUAACCGGGGGAACUGCGUCUGAUACUGGAUAGCUUGAGUUUGGGAGAGGGACGCGGAAUUCCAGGUGUAGCGGUGAAAUGCGUAGAUAUCUGGAGGAACACCGGUGGCGAAGGCGGCUCACUGGACCGGUACUGACGCUGAUGCGCGAAAGCGUGGGGGAGCAAACAGG